GAUGAACGCUGGCGGCGUGCCUAAUACAUGCAAGUCGAGCGAACAGACGAGGAGCUUGCUCCUCUGACGUUAGCGGCGGACGGGUGAGUAACACGUGGAUAACCUACCUAUAAGACUGGGAUAACUUCGGGAAACCGGAGCUAAUACCGGAUAAUCUAUUGAACCGCAUGGUUCAAUAGUGAAAGACGGUUUUGCUGUCACUUAUAGCUGGAUCCGCGCCGCAUUAGCUAGUUGGUAAGGUAACGGCUUACCAAGGCAACGAUGCGUAGCCGACCUGAGAGGGUGAUCGGCGACACUGGAACUGAGACACGGUCCAGACUCCUACGGGAGGCAGCAGUAGGGAAUCUUCCGCAGUAGGCGAGAGCCUGACGGAGCAACGCCGCGUGAGUGAUGAAGGUCUUCGGAUCGUAAAACUCUGUUAUUAGGGAAGAACAACUGUGUAAGUAACUAUGCACGUCUUGACGGUACCUAAUCAGAAAGCCACGGCUAACUACGUG
rnacentral:rRNA from 1 species